ensembl:lncRNA
CUUGGUCGUGCUUGUCUGUUCUGUUACCUAGUGCCCUGGUCGUGCUCUGUCUGUCUGUUACCUAGUUCCCUGGUCGUGCUCUGUCGGUCUGUUACCUAGUGCCCUGGUCGUGCUCUGUCUGUCUGUUACCUAGUGCCCUGGUCGUGCUCUGUCUGUCUGUUACCUAGUGCCCUGGUCGUGCUCUGUCUGUCUGUACCUAGUGCCCUGGUCGUCUCUGUCUGUUAUCUGGUGCCUGGUUGUGCUCUGGUCUGUCUGUUACCUAGUGCCUGGUCGUACUGUCUGUUGUUACCUCGUGCCUUGGUCGUGCCUGUCGUCUGUUUACUAGUGCCCUGGCCGUGCUCUGUGUGUCUCGUAGUUCACGUUGCGAUGGUCAGGUGGGCAGGUUGUAGUGCUGGAGCGCCGUCGUGAGCGCCCCAGAGCCUGAUAGGCUACAGCCAGGUUACCAUGGGUAGAGGCCUGGGAGGGCGGUCAUUCACCUGGGAGGGAAAGAAGGUCAAUAACAGGGUUGUGUCUG